rnacentral:lncRNA from 1 species
GUACCAAAUUUGCUAGUUUACUGCCUAUAAGAGGAGCACUGAUAUUAUAAUAACCAUAAGUUAAAAAUACUUCAAAACUAGGUUAGUGCACAUCAGUUUCUUCAUUUCUCUCUCAUUCAAUGUGAGAUAAAUGCCUUUUCAUCUGAAUCGUCUUUUUGCCAUGAAACAUUUUAAUCUUUUGAACUGUUAACUUCAGUACUCUCUUGUGACAUGCUACUUUAUGUUAUAGGUGAUGUUGAGCUUGAAUGGGAAGAAACCACCAUGUAAAUAUUCAGAUCAACAAUUACAACAAGAAGAUAUUUUUCAAUCCCAGGGGCCAAAACUACCCCCUCGGGCUUCUGAAUUGAAAUAUGCAAUCCUAAAGAAAUCUUUAUGCUUCCCUUACUGCCUUACUCCCUGAAUUGACGAUUUUACAGACAGUUCUAGGAAACUGCUAAUUCAGCAUAGUCACUUGUUUUGUACAGAAUAAAUAUUGUUCAUUUAAAAUGUUUAAGACAAGAUAUCCCAUAGGGUUUUGAAGUUCUCCAUAUUUGGAACAAGCCAAAUGUUAAAUUAUUAUUAUACUAGCAUUAAUGGUUCGUGUGAAUCUUCCCUGUGUAUCAGUUAUAAUUUUGAACAAAAGCCGUAAAUGUUGAUUCAGUAGUGUUAUUUUGGCCUCUAGGGUGUUGUCGUUUCUUGUGGAUGACUUCCAGAACUGUCAUAAUGAUCUGUACUUCUAUGUAUGCCUCUGUGUUUUGAAUCCUCUGUUUUAUGAGUGCUGAGAUAUCAUCUCCUGAUCCUGAACAGCUGAACACUAACCCCCUGACACUGCAGGGAUUACAUAGCCUUUAUACAACACACAGUAGCUCUUUGGAGGAACUUAGGGCUAUUUAAAUUGCAUUGUGAACUUCAGUUUGAAAAAAUGAAAGGAAAAAAAAAGUGCAAUUGCACAUAACGAAGUUAUAAAGUACCUUUCUAGCCUGCCCACAUUUGUCUGAUGUCAGGCACAAGUUGUAGCACUGUAUUGUAUAUUUAAAUACAAAAAGGUAUCAGAGUAUUUGCACAUUAUAUUUAUAUUCAACUUAUUAACAAUUUUAAAAUGUUUCUUCAGCAGAAAUGUAUAAAAAUAAUAAUAAAAUCAUGUAGUGUGGUACAAGCUUGUGAACUUAUGAUGUACUGCUGCGGUGCCAACAGACUUCUGAAGAGAUUAUUUUAACUGGUCUUUAUUUUAUUUCCCAAGGGUGAUUAUGGAGGAGUGUGUUUAGGGGAACUGAAAACAAAGAAAUUAACCAGGUUGGAGCAAAGUAGAGAUUUUUUAAAAAAAAU